UUAAAUGUGAAGAUGAGGAAAGUAUUUUCUAGAUAACUUAAAGAGAGUCUCGGCUGGUGGAAAGAGAUAGUGACGAUGGAGAAGAAAAUGGCCUUUGAGCAAAUUGGUUGAACACGUUAAAACCAAUUCAGGUGCGCCUGUUAUAGCGCCUCAGUAUGAUUGUACUGAAUGAGUGGGUUUAUCAUUAAACCAAUUGAAGGUGGUACCGCGAAAGUUUACAGCUCUCGUCCUUUUU
rnacentral:ncRNA from 1 species